ensembl:lncRNA
GGGAGUUUCUUCCUCUGCAGUGCCUUCAAACACAAACCUAAACUUCUUCUUCAGACUGGCUUUAUGUUCCUCUUUAACUCUCUGUAUGAGUUCUGUAAGGACAGAGUCAGAAUAAAACAGCUUCAUUAUUAGAGCAUAAGAUGAAGAAGAAGUCUUAUCCACCUUUCACUCAUACGGUUGAGACUGUCUACUAAUAAACCACUAUAAGAUCUAGUGAGGUGCUGUGGGGUUUUCAUUGAGACUGUCUACUAAUAAACCACUAUAAGGUCUAGUGAGGUGCUGUGGGGUUUUCAUUGAGACUGCCUACUAAUAAACCACUAUAAGGUCUAGUGAGGUGCUGUGGGGUUUUCAU